rnacentral:rRNA from 1 species
AGUAGGUGAACUGCGGAAGGAUCAUUAUUGAAUUCAAAUGC